UCAGGAGUCAGACUGCGGGAGCUAAGUUCCGUGGUCAAAAGGGAAAGAGCCCAGACCGACAAUUAAGGUCCCCAAGAGAUAGUUAAGUGGAAAACGAUGUGAAAAUGCAAAGACAACCAGGAUGUUGGCUUAGAAGCAGCCAUACAUUAAAAGAGUGCGUAACAGCUCACUGGUCGAGUGAAUUUGCGCGGAAAAUUACCGGGGCUAAACUAUCCACCGAAAUUGCGGAUUGUAGUACAUUUAACAAUAUGUAUAGGAAAGAAUAUAUAUUGUUAAGUGUACUGCAGUGGUAGAGGAGCAUUCUGUAGUAGGAAGAAGCUAAAGCGAAAGCAUUGGUGGACGAGACAGAAGAGAGAAUGCUGGAAUAAGUAGCGAGAGCAAGGUGAGAAUCCUUGCCGUCGAAAGUCUAAGGUUUCCUGGGGAAGGUUCGUCCGCCCAGGGUAAGUCGGGACCUAAGGAGAGGCCGAGAAGGCGUAUCUGAUGGAUAGCAGGUUGAAAUUCCUGCACUACCGAUACUUUUAAAAACGUCAAGGGACGCAGGAGAGGAAGGAAAGCGAGGAAGAGGAAAGACUCGUAUCGAAAGAUAUAGUGAAAAUAUAAGUAACGAAAUUCCAAGAAUCACACUGACGAGAAAAGCUUGAUGACAUUAAGUAGAGGUACCCGUACCGCAAACCGACACAGGUAGAUGAGGAGAGGAUCCUAAGACGAACGGGAGAAGCAUUGUUAAGGAACUCGGCAAAAUGACCCCGUAACUUCGGGAGAAGGGGAGCCUAAGUAAAAUUAGGUCGCAGAGAAAAGGCCCAAGCAACUGUUUAACAAAAACACAGGUUUCUGCUAAAUCGAAAGAUGAAGUAUAGGAGCUGACGCCUGCCCAGUGCUGGAAGGUCAAGGGGAGAUGUUAGAAGAAAUUCGAAGCAUAGAACCAAAGCCCCAGUGAACGGCGGCCGUAACUAUAACGGUCCUAAGGUAGCGAAAUUCCUUGUCAGGUAAGUUCUGACCCGCACGAAAGGCGUAAUGAUUUGGGCACUGUCUCGACAAUGUACCCGGCGAAAUUGUAGUACUAGUGAAGAUGCUAGUUACCUGCGACAAGACAGAAAGACCCCAUGGAGCUUUACUGUAGUUUGAUAUUGGGUUUCGGUAAUUUAUGUACAGGAUAGGUGGGAGACAAAGAAGGAUAGGCGUCAGCUUAUCUGGAGUCAACGUUGGGAUACCACUCUUAAGUUAUUGAAAUUCUAACUUGUGAUCAUAAACUGGUCAGAGGACAAUGUCAGACGGGCAGUUUGACUGGGGCGGUCGCCUCCAAAAGAGUAACGGAGGCGCCCAAAGGUUCCCUCAGUGCGGACAGAAAUCGCACAAAAGAGUGUAAAGGCAGAAGGGAGCUUAACUGGAAGAUAGACAUAUCGAGCAGAUACGAAAGUAGGGCUUAGUGAUCCGGUGGAAUUGAAUGGAAAAGCCAUCGCUCAACGGACAAAAGUUACCCUGGGGAUAACAGGCUUAUCUCCCCCAAGAGUUCACAUCGACGGGGAGGUUUGGCACCUCGAUGUCGGCUCAUCGCAUCCUGGAGCGGAAGUACGUUCCAAGGGUUGGGCUGUUCGCCCAUUAAAGCGGUACGCGAGCUGGGUUCAGAACGUCGUGAGACAGUUCGGUCCUUAUCUGUCGCAGGCGGAAGAUAUUUGAAGGGAGCUGUCCUUAGUACGAGAGGACCAGGAUGGACAUACCGAUGGUUUAUCAGUUGUCACACCAGUGGCACGGCUGAGUAGCCAAGUAUGGAAGGGAUAAACGCUGAAAGCAUCUAAGUGUGAAGCCCACCCUAAGAUAAGAUAUCUCAUACCGAAAGGUAGUAAGAUUCCAUAAAGACUAUGUGGUUGAUAGGUUGGAGGUGUAAGUAUAGCAAUAUAUUGAGCUGACCAAUACUAAUAAAUCGAGGGCUUAACCAC
rnacentral:rRNA from 1 species